AUUGAACGCUGGCGGCAGGCCUAACACAUGCAAGUCGAACGGUAACAGGAAGAAGCUUGCUUCUUUGCUGACGAGCGGCGGACGGGUGAGUAAUGUCUGGGAAACUGCCUGAUGGAGGGGGAUAACUACUGGAAACGGUAGCUAAUACCGCAUAACGUCGCAAGACCAAGGAGGGGGACCUUCGGGCCUCUUGCCAUCGGAUGUGCUCAGAUGGGAUUAGCUAGUAGGUGGGGUAACGGCUCACCUAGGCGACGAUCCCUAGCUGGUCUGAGAGGAUGACCAGCCACACUGGAACUGAGACACGGUCCAGACUCCUACGGGAGGCAGCAGUGGGGAAUAUUGCACAAAGGGCGCAAGCCUGAUGCAGCCAUGCCGCGUGUAUGAAGAAGGCCUUCGGGUUGUAAAGUACUUUCAGCGGGGAGGAAGGGAGUAAAGUUAAUACCUUUGCUCAUUGACGUUACCCGCAGAAGAAGCACCGGCUAACUCCGUG
rnacentral:rRNA from 1 species